rnacentral:misc_RNA from 1 species
GUCAACAUAGAAACACUGAAAAAGGAAAUUAUGGCUUUUCCUCAGCAAAGAAGAGGUUAAUCCCUGUCCUUGCAGCCAAGAGACAUGACUGAAGAAGAAAUGAUAUCAAACUCCCCCUCCAAGAAUGGAGAAAGUACCAAUGGCAUUGAUGAUAAACAGAGAAAAGUAUUUUGAAGUUGAACUGAGAUAUGCCAGAAAAACCAUGAAAUAGGAAAUUCAUAAUCUAGAACGAAUAAAGAGUAGAGAUUGAAUGAUAUGCAUUAAAGAAAUGUACAAAGCCAGCAACUAAAGAAUAUUUUUUAGCUCCGUCCUAAAUCAGGUGAUGGCUAACAGAAUUUCCAUAAAGAAAAAAAUUCAAAAGGGGGAAAAGGCAAAGGCAAGGAGGCAAAUGAUGUAACUGGUACUACAUAACUACAAAACUGCUACCUAUAUGUUCACUGACAUAAGG